rnacentral:tRNA from 1 species
AAGGCUUUAGCUUAAUUAAAGUGUCUGGGUUGCAUUCAGGCGAUGUAAAUGAGAGUUUUACAGGUCUUGU